rnacentral:rRNA from 1 species
UACGUAGGGGGCUAGCGUUGUCCGGAAUCAUUGGGCGUAAAGAGCGUGUAGGCGGUCCGGUAAGUCCGCUGUGAAAGUCGGGGGCUCAACCCUCGAAUGCCGGUGGAUACUGUCGGGCUAGAGUGCGGAAGAGGCGAGUGGAAUUCCUGGUGUAGCGGUGAAAUGCGCAGAUAUCAGGAGGAACACCGGUGGCGAAGGCGGGUCUCUGGGCCGAUACUGACGCUGAGGAGCGAAAGCGUGGGGAGCAAACAGG